rnacentral:rRNA from 1 species
AUUGAACGCUGGCGGCAGGCCUAACACAUGCAAGUCGAGCGAGCGGCGGACGGGAGAGUAACGUAUGGGGAUCUGCCCGAUAGAGGGGGAUAACUACUGGAAACGGUGGCUAAUACCGCAUACUAUCGGAUGAACCCAUAGGGGAUUAGCUAGUAGGUGGGGUAAAGGCUCCCCGAGGCGACGAUCUCUAGCUGGUCUGAGAGGAUGAUCGGCCACACUGGGACUGAGACACGGACCAGAGUCCUACGGGAGGCAGCAGUGGGGAAGAGUGCACAAUUGGCGAAAGCCUGAUGCAGCCAUGCCGCGUGUAUGAAGAGGGGCUUAGGGUUGUAAAGUACUUUCAGCGGGGAGGCGGUACCCGCAGAAGAAGCACCGGCUAACUCCGUGCCAGCAGCCGCGGUAAUAC